rnacentral:ncRNA from 2 species
UGUUUCCUUCGGGGCUGGGUGGAAAUCCCGACCGGCGGUGAUGAAGCAAACGCUUCUUAGUCCGUGACCCGUUUCUUUUGAUUAAGAGCGGUGGACCUGGUGAAACUCCGGGACCGACAGUGAAAGUCUGGAUGGGAGAAGGAACGA